GCAAGUCGAACGGAUCCUUCGGGAUUAGUGGCGGACGGGUGAGUAACACGUGGGAACGUGCCUUUUGGUUCGGAACAACUCAGGGAAACUUGAGCUAAUACCGGAUAAGCCUUUCGAGGGAAAGAUUUAUCGCCAUUAGAGCGGCCCGCGUAGGAUUAGCUAGUUGGUGGGGUAAAGGCCCACCAAGGCUACGAUCCUUAGCUGGUCUGAGAGGAUGAUCAGCCACAUUGGGACUGAGACACGGCCCAAACUCCUACGGGAGGCAGCAGUGGGGAAUCUUGCGCAAUGGGCGAAAGCCUGACGCAGCCAUGCCGCGUGAAUGAUGAAGGUCUUAGGAUUGUAAAAUUCUUUCACCGGGGACGAUAAUGACGGUACCCGGAGAAGAAGCCCCGGCUAACUUCGUGCCAGCAGCCGCGGUAAUACGAAGGGGGCUAGCGUUGCUCGGAAUUACUGGGCGUAAAGGGAGCGUAGGCGGAUAGUUUAGUCAGAGGUGAAAGCCCAGGGCUCAACCUUGGAAUUGCCUUUGAUACUGGCUAUCUUGAGUACGGAAGAGGUAUGUGGAACUCCGAGUGUAGAGGUGAAAUUCGUAGAUAUUCGGAAGAACACCAGUGGCGAAGGCGACAUACUGGUCCGUUACUGACGCUGAGGCUCGAAAGCGUGGGGAGCAAACAGGAUUAGAUACCCUGGUAGUCCACGCUGUAAACGAUGAGUGCUAGUUGUCGGCCGGCAUGCCGGUCGGUGACGC
rnacentral:rRNA from 1 species